CUCCCCCUCAGAUCGAACGGAGCGCGCCGCCGCAGAGAGCUCCAGCUCUCCGUCGUCUUCGUCUAUAGUCGGCGAUUUGUUGGACUACCUUAACGAAUCUUGGACUCAGUUCCACGCCACCGCCGAAGCCAAGAGGCAACUGAU